rnacentral:misc_RNA from 1 species
GAAAUGCGAUAAGUAAUGCGAAUUGCAGAAUUCAGUGAAUCAUCGAAUCUUUGAACGCACAUUGCGCCCGCCAGUAUUCUGGCGGGCAUGCCUGUCCGAGCGUCAUUUCAACCAUCGAGCCCCCGGGCUUGUGUUGGGGACCUGCGGCUGCCCGCAGGCCCUGAAAACCAGUGGCGGGCUCGCUGUCACACCGAGCGUAGUAGCAAUCACCUCGCUCAGGGCGUGCUGCGGGUUCCGGCCGUUAAACAGCCUUACAAAACCCAAGGUUGACCUCGGAUCAGGUAGGGAUACCCGCUGAACUUAAGC